CCGGAAGUGUCAAGUGAAUCCAUAACAUCACCACAAACGGCUUUUCAAGCCAGAUUGGAGAAGGACAAAUGAAGGGAGUAAAAAGAGUGAAGGAGGAGAGUGAAGAAGAGUGAGGUGGAACGGUGAAGAGAAGGAAAGGAAGAAAGAUCAGGAAGACGAUUGGAGGAGAAGAAAACGUUGAGAGUAAGAAGAGUGACACAAGGAGAGUGAAGAAGAGCAGACAGGAGGAACAAUUAUACACAUACCUUUUUUGAAUCAUUCUUCACUACGGCUGUUGCUGUCUUUGUUGGACUUCUGAGAGAGCUAGAGGGAAAUGGUGCAAUGUCUAGAGAGCUUUCUCAAAACCUCCCAAUCGUUCUUCACUGUGGCUGUGAACUACUUGCAGGCAUUGGGAAAGCACACAGAUAAUCUAAAAGAUGUACUUUGUCUCCUUUUAAAAGGCAACCUCAGCGUGAAGAGAUCCAGAAGGCAGCAGCCACACUGCAGGAAAAAUGCCCCCAUGUGACCAUGAAUGAGGAUGCAUUGCUUGAUGAGGUUACUGGCCUGCAAGAGUUCCUAAAGGGGAGGGAUCGCUUGAAGAAUGGAAAACAUUGGAGACACCGCUUAGUCAGAGAUGGAGUUACCCACUUCAAAGAGAACCACAUCCCACACACUAACCUGGCUAGAUUAGCUUCUGUUGUCAUGUGCUUACCUGGAAGUAAUAGACCAGUCGAGAGAGUGUUCUCCCAAAUGAAUGAUAUAUGGACAGCAGCAAGAAAUAGGUUCACUGUUCCUGCCAUCAAGGCCAUGCUUAUUGUAAAGACAAACUUCAACCUCCGCUGCCAGGAGUUCAUGGAGAAGCUGGCCAAAGACGGAGCAAUCCUGAAGAAGAUACAUUGUUCUGAGAAAUAUACAGAUUAGGUUGGAAUAAGUGACUAGCAGGACCACUGAUUGGCUGUUCAGAUCAGUUCUACCCAGACUACCAGGACCACUGAAUGGCUGUUCAGAUCAGUUCUACCCAGACUACCAGGACCCCUGAAUGGCUGUUCAGAUGAGUUCUACCUAGACUAGCAGGACCCCUGAAUGGCUGUUCAGAUCAGUUCUACCCAGACUAGCAGGACCACUGAAUGUCUGUUCAGAUCAGUUCUACCCAGACUACCAGGACCACUG